rnacentral:rRNA from 1 species
AUUGAACGCUGGCGGUAUGCCUAACACAUGCAAGUCGAACGGCAGCACAGUAAGAGCUUGCUCUUUCGGGUGGCGAGUGGCGGACGGGUGAGGAAUACAUCGGAAUCUACUUUUUCGUGGGGGAUAACGUAGGGAAACUUACGCUAAUACCGCAUACGACCUACUGGUGAAAGCAGGGGAUCUUCGGACCUUGCGCGAUUGAAUGAGCCGAUGUCGUAUUAGCUAGUUGGCGGGGUAAAGGCCAACCAAGGCGACGAUCCGUAGCUGGUCUGAGAGGAUAGUCAGCAAAACUGGAACUUAGCAACGGUCCAGACUCCGACGGGAGGCAGCAGUGGGGAACAUUGGGCAAGGGGCGCAAGCCUGCUCCAGCCAGACCGCGUGGGUGAAGAAGGCCUUCGGGUUGUAAAGCCCUUUUGUUGGGAAAGAAAAGCAGCAGGUUAAUACCCCGCUGUUCUGACGGUACCCAAAGAAUAAGCACCGGCUAACUUCGUG